UCUCAAAACUCACUCAGAACUUGAGUUGUUGUUUUCUUCCUUCUUCAUUUGACCUAGGAAUGCAUCUACAUAGUCUUCUCCUUCCCCUUCAAUAACA
rnacentral:snoRNA from 1 species